rnacentral:miRNA from 1 species
GUGUGUGUGUAUAUGUGUGUGUGUGUAUAUACACACACACACACACACACACACACA